rnacentral:rRNA from 1 species
AUGCUCCCAUUAUAUGAGAAGCAGAAGAAGUUGCAUGCAGCAGAAGUGAAGAAUGUUCUGACAUCGUUCGGCCAGAUAAUGCAGUCAAUUUUCUGCAAGAGUGUAGCACGUAUUUUGGUUGAAGCAAACUCCAUUGCUGCAACUUCCAAGGUACACAUGUUUGAAGGUGUUACUUUUGAUGUUCCAGCAAGCAAUGCAGCAGGAGCAUGUGACACCAGGGCUCCACCCCAAACUAGCCCUGCAGUUCACAUGGGUGCCACAACACAAGAAGCCGAGGUUGAGAUGGAAGCUGCAGGUUGUCCCGACACCAACCAGAAUGUGUAA